rfam:Schistosoma mansoni strain Puerto Rico chromosome 2, complete genome
AUCCAACUGACAAGCCCCAAAUAGGACGAAACGCGCGUCCUGGAU